rnacentral:rRNA from 1 species
AUGUUGAGGCAGCAGUUGCUGGAGAAGCUGUCCGGUGAAGGAGUUGAGGUGUCUCCAGGGGAAGAUGUGGAGCGACCAUCACAAGCAGGCAGGAUAAGGGCAUCACCAGCGCGCUUUGCAAAUUUCAACGCCUCUCUAACUCCACUACAGAAAUCAUGGCUAGUUUCGAGGUCGGUCGGGGGGCUAUUGAACUUAUCAGACACACUUCCAGCGGACCUCACUAAGUUCCUGGUGCAGUCCUACCAGCCACAGACCUCUGAAAUGGUUUUCCCAGGAAGGGGAAGGAUCCGUGUCGAUGCUGACAGUGUUCAGAGGGUAUUUGAUCUCCCAAACAAGGGUCCAAAAGUCAGAUAUUUAGUUGACAAGGAUGCCACUAGGAGAUUCAGACAAGCUUUCAACAUAACUGGAAAAUCUCAUCCCCAGAUCACUACAUGGCUCAAGAUGAUUGAGCAUAUGGCUGGAAGAACGGAUGACACAUUUUUUAUGGCCUGGCUUGCGGUUGCCUUCAGUACUUUUCUAGCACCAACCACGGCCUUGAAGCUCAGCCAAAAGUGUUAUGGACUUGUGCUAGAUCAUCAAAUGCUAAAGAAUACAAACAUCUGCCUCUUUGUAGCAGAACACAUUAACGAAGCUUUCCGGAACAUGGACCAGGAGAAGAAAACUGUUUGCUGCUGCUUGUAUCACUUGAUGGUGAUCAAGAAGGAUACUAUCUCUCCUGGUGUGUUCGGCAAAUCACAACUUAAAGAGGAGUAUAGAGGCACGGAGCAGACACCACUGUUUGGUGGAAUUUUGCAAGCUGAAGCAUUUGUGGCAUCCAAGUUAUCAAUAACAUACAAUCCGCAGGUUGGCACCUUCAUUGAAGAAGUUGCCAAGAUUGAUGACGAGGAACCAGAUAUUGAUCCUUACGUACAGCAGCCAUCAAUGCAAACUGGGGCAUCACGCCGUGCUCCAAAAAAAAGAGAUGACGGUCAACUAUACAAGAAGAAAAAGAAUUUGUUGAGGAUGAUUCAGAAGAAGAUGAGGAAAUGGGAGCAGCGAUAG